rnacentral:rRNA from 1 species
GGUGAAAAGCACCCCGGAAGGGGAGUGAAAUAGAACCUGAAACCGUGUGCUUACAAGUAGUCAGAGCCCGUUAAUGGGUGAUGGCGUGCCUUUUGUAGAAUGAACCGGCGAGUUACGAUUUGAUGCAAGGUUAAGCAGUAAAUGUGGAGCCGUAGCGAAAGCGAGUCUGAAUAGGGCGUUUAGUAUUUGGUCGUAGACCCGAAACCAGGUGAUCUACCCUUGGUCAGGUUGAAGUUCAGGUAACACUGAAUGGAGGACCGAACCGACUUACGUUGAAAAGUGAGCGGAUGAACUGAGGGUAGCGGAGAAAUUCCAAUCGAACCUGGAGAUAGCUGGUUCUCUCCGAAAUAGCUUUAGGGCUAGCCUCAAGUGAUGAUUAUUGGAGGUAGAGCACUGUUUGGACGAGGGGCCCCUCUCGGGUUACCGAAUUCAGACAAACUCCGAAUGCCAAUUAAUU